rnacentral:rRNA from 1 species
AACUAACGCUGGCGGCGUGCCUAACACAUGCAAGUCGUACGAGAAAGCCGGCUUCGGCUGGUGAGUAAAGUGGCGCACGGGUGAGUAACGCGUGGAUAAUCUGCCCUUAAGUGUGGAAUAACGUACCGAAAGGUGCGCUAAUACCGCAUAAUGCCUGGCAACACAAGUUGUCCGGCCAAAGAAGGCCUCUGUUUACAAGCUUUCGCUUCAGGAUGAGUCCGCGUACCAUUAGCUUGUUGGUGGGGUAAUGGCCUACCAAGGCUGCGAUGGUUAGCUGGUCUGAGAGGAUGAUCAGCCACACUGGAACUGAGACACGGUCCAGACUCCUACGGGAGGCAGCAGUGAGGAAUAUUGGGCAAUGGGGGAAACCCUGACCCAGCAACGCCGCGUGAGGGAAGAAGGUUUUCGGAUUGUAACCUCUGUCCUUGGUGAAGAGAAGAAGACGGUAGACCGAAGGAGGAAGCCCCGGCUAACUACGUGCCAGCAGCCGACGGUAAAAGUCACGUCGCG